UCCACAAAUCUCACAUAUGGUGGAUCCAUGGUUAAUAAACCACUUAAGCGCACAAGCGUAGUGUACCAUAGCAAGAUCAUUUUUGCACGCACAGCCAAGCUCAUUCAAAGAAUCCUGGUUCUCAUCAUAACCCAUCUCUAUAUCACCAUUACAAACAAAAACCUCCCCUUUUGGACUAAUGAAUUCAACUAGUGCAGAUCCUUUCCCGCUACUUCUGUUGAAGGAAACAUUUUCGUCAUUUUU
rnacentral:lncRNA from 1 species